AGAAGCCUUAAGACACGGAUCAAUGAACAACGCAGCAAUAUACGGACAGGGGAGGAGACAUUGAGAGGAAACUUCUUCUAAGGGAAUCAUCCUGGAUCCACAGGCUGAACACUGUCUCCUCUUGGCCUUAACGAGAGGAAGUGAUGUCACUGAGUACUUCCCCUAUAUAUAGGACCUUCCACCCCGACCUGGGAUAUGGAUGCCUGAUGAAGACCCAAGGGUCGAAAACAUUAUUAUAAAUAAA